rnacentral:tRNA from 1 species
GGCGGCGUAGCUCAGUUGGUUAGAGCGUAGGAUUCAUAAACCUAAGGUCGGUGGUUCGAUUCCACCCGCCGCUACCA